rnacentral:sRNA from 1 species
CACGCGACCCCUUUGGAGAGGUGGCAGAGUGGUCGAAUGUACCUGACUCGAAAUCAGGCGUACGUGUAAGCGUACCGUGGGUUCGAAUCCCACCCUCUCCGCCAGACACAAAAACGCCCCCUCGCGGGGCGUUUUUGUGUCUGGCGGAGAGGGUGGUGUGG